rnacentral:snRNA from 1 species
GUACUUACUGCAACAGCACACACUCUAAAAUUGUAACCAUACAGAGAAGAUUAGCAUGGCCCCUGCACAAAUGACACGCAAACUCAUGAAACAUUCCAUAUUUUU